GCCCCUGUAGUUCAACGGAUAGAACAGUCCCGUCCUAAGGGAAAAAUUGGGGGUUCAAUUCCUCCCAGGGGCACAA
rnacentral:tRNA from 5 species